rnacentral:rRNA from 1 species
AGGACGACGCUGGCGGCGCGCCUAACACAUGCAAGUCGAACGGAGAUUACAGGCGGAAGUUUUCGGAUGGAAGCUUGUAAACUUAGUGGCGGACGGGUGAGUAACACGUGAGCAACCUGCCUAUCAGGAGGGGGAUAACGAUUGGAAACGAUCGCUAAUACCGCAUGACAUAGCGGAAUCGCAUGGUUCUGCUAUCAAAGUAUUUUAUCGCUGAUAGAUGGGCUCGCGUCCGAUUAGAUAGUCGGUGGGGUAACGGCCUACCAAGUCGACGAUCGGUAGCCGGACUGAGAGGUCGAACGGCCACAUUGGGACUGAGACACGGCCCAGACUCCUACGGGAGGCAGCAGUGGGGGAUAUUGCACAAUGGGGGAAACCCUGAUGCAGCGACGCCGCGUGAGGGAAGACGGUCCUCUGGAUUGUAAACCUCUGUCUUCGGGGACGAAACGAGACGGUACCCGAGGAGGAAGCCACGGCUAACUACGUG